CUGCUCUCUCACAAAUCUCCUCCUGAAAUCCGCUCCACCAUCGUUGAUCGACGCCGCCAGCCCACCAGCUCGCCUCCCUCUAAUCAGUAGGUUGAAGAUUCAGAGGCUAAGAAGAAUCUGUGCACUCAGCAGGAUUUUCCCCACAUGAAUCCUUGAUUCAGAGUAGUUAGUGGAUUUGGAGAUUUCUUCUGAUUGACAUGCUCCUAUUGUACCCCCAUUUAUGGCUCAUGGAAAUGGAAUCCACCCUGUGCCUUUUCUUGAUCCAUCUAUACCAUGUGGCAGCCCUACAGGAGUUGGUGGAAUUUACAAUUUGAGAGGAUCACCACCGCUGCUGAUUGAACUAUUGUACAGGUUGUUGAAUGAACAUUGUGAGAUUGUGCUGUCGCUGACAGAAAUUGUUCAUUUACAGCAGAAUGAUCUUACUGAUUUUUUG